GACGAACGCUGGCGGCGUGCUUAACACAUGCAAGUCGAACGGAAAGGCUCCAGCUUGCUGGAGUACUCGAUUGGCGAACGGGUGAGUAACACGUGGGUGAUCUGCCCUGCACUUCGGGAUAAGCCUGGGAAACUGGGUCUAAUACCGGAUAGGACCGCACUUUGGUGUGUGUGGUGGAAAGGUUUUUCUGGUUUGGGGUGAGUUCGCGGGCUAUCAGUUUGUUGGUGGGGUAAUGGCCUACCAAGACGUCGACGGGUAGCCGUCCUGAGAGGGUGGACGGUGACAUUGGGACUGAGAUAAGGCCCAGGCUCCUACGGGAGGCAGCAGUGGGGAAUAUUGCACAAUGGGGGAAGCCCUGAUGCAGCGACGCCGCGUGGGGGAUGAAGGCCUUCGGGUUGUAGACUCCUUUCGCUAGGGACGAAGCUUUUUGUGACGGUACCUGGAGAAGAAGCACCGGCUAACUACGUG
rnacentral:rRNA from 1 species